GUGAGCUGAUUCCACCAGUGACUGAGCACAGACCAGCACUAUGGAGCUGGGGCUGCGCUGGGUUCUCCUUGUUGCUCUGUUGAAAGGUGUGCAGUGUGAGGUGCAGCUGGUGGAGUCUGGGGGAGGCUUGGUGCAGCCUGGGGGGUCCCUGAGACUCUCCUGUGCAGCCUCCGGAUUUGACUUCAGUAGAUAUACCAUGCACUGGCUCCGCCAGGCUCCAGGGAAGAGGCCUGAGUGGCUCUCAUACAUCAGUAGUGGUAGUAGUAACAUAAACUACGCAGACUCUGUGAAGGGCCGCUUCACCACCUCCAGAGACAACAGCAAGAACACACUUUACCUGCAGAUGAACAGCCUGAGAGUGGAGGACACGGCCAUGUAUUACUGUGCUAGACACACAACUGGAAGGAAUGACUGGAGCCAGUCCCAGAGACACAGUGUCAGCCCAGAGAUAAACACGAUUCCACCCCAGAGCUGGCUAUAUACCAAGAGGACAUGCAAAUGGGGCCUCCCUCUGCUCAUGAAAAGCUGCACCUCUGCAGGUCAGGCGUGA